GACGAACGCUGGUGGCGUGCCUAAUACAUGCAAGUCGAGCGCAGGAAGCCGUUCCGAACCCUUCGGGGGGACGACGGUGGAAUGAGCGGCGGACGGGUGAGUAACACGUAAAGAACCUGCCCAUAGGUCUGGGAUAACCACGAGAAAUCGGGGCUAAUACCGGAUGUGUCAUCGGACCGCAUGGUCCGCUGAUGAAAGGCGCUCCGGCGUCGCCCAUGGAUGGCUUUGCGGUGCAUUAGCUAGUUGGUGGGGUAACGGCCCACCAAGGCGACGGUGCAUAGCCGACCUGAGAGGGUGAUCGGCCACACUGGGACUGAGACACGGCCCAGACUCCUACGGGAGGCAGCAGUAGGGAAUCUUCCACAAUGGACGAAAGUCUGAUGGAGCAACGCCGCGUGAACGAUGAAGGCUUUCGGGUCGUAAAGUUCUGUUGUAAGGGAAGAACAAGUGCCGCAGGCAAUGGCGGCACCUUGACGGUACCUUGCGAGAAAGCCACGGCUAACUACGUGCCAGCCGCCGCAGUAAUAC
rnacentral:rRNA from 1 species